UACGUAGGGGGCAAGCGUUGUUCGGAUUUACUGGGCGUAAAGGGCGCGUAGGCGGUCAGCACAAGUCAGUUGUGAAAUCUCCGGGCUUAACUCGGAAAGGUCAACUGAUACUGUGCGACUAGAGUGCGGAAGGGGCAACUGGAAUUCUCGGUGUAGCGGUGAAAUGCGUAGAUAUCGAGAGGAACACCUGCGGCGAAGGCGGGUUGCUGGGCCGACACUGACGCUGAUGCGCGAAAGCCAGGGGAGCGAACGGG
rnacentral:rRNA from 1 species